rnacentral:rRNA from 1 species
AAACCUAAACAACUCCCAACAAACUUCCUUUUGCAUAAGGAGUAACCAAAAAUCUAGAUCCAAAUCUACAAUAGAAAGAUAGUAAACUACGAGUACUUAAAAUUUACAUGAAAUCUAACAUUAAAAUACUCGAAGAGACAUUCAAUACACUAUCUGAUAACCAUUUCAAAAUAAACUUAGUACAAACUAAGUAAAACAUUAUAUAAUUCAAGCUAUUAGGCUUAGAAUCAACCAAUACAAUAGUUCGUAAUUGACUAGCUUAACACAAUAAUAACUUAUCCCAAAUCACUCAAAACCAAAGACUGAUAAACCAUGGUUACAUUAGUAAGAGCAACAAAAUCUACAUGUUACAAUUCGGCAACAAACCCUCUACUGUUUAAUAAAAACAUUGUAAUAUAAAUAUAUUAUAACCUCCUGCCCAAUGAAAAUAAUUAAAUGGCCGCGGUAAUUUGACCGUGCAAAGGUAGCAUAAUCAAUUGUUUAAUAAAUUUAAACUAGAAUGAAAGGAGUAAAGAAAGUUUACUAUUAACAUGUAAUCAACAGAAAUUAUAAUUAAGGUGAAAAUUCCUUACAGCAAUCUUAAAACGAGAAGACCCUAGAAACUAAUAAUUACAACCUUUUUUGGGAUAAAACCUUAAAAUAAAAGAAUUAACAUCCUUUAAAAUAAAAUAGUUACUCUAGGGAUAACAGCACAAUAAAAGCUAAGAGAACUAAUCUACCCUUUAGAUUGUGACCUCGAUGUUGAAUCAAGAAUUACCGGUUGUAGAAGACCAGCAAGUUUCGUCUGUUCGACGAUAUAUAAAUACGUGAUUUGAGUUUAAACCGUCGCAAGACAGGUUGGAUUCUCUUUAAGACUGCAAUAUUUAACCAUUAUAAGUACGAAAGGAACAUAAUACUUAAUAAUCAUUAUGAAAAAAUUUAAAUUAUCCGACAUUAAAAUCACAGCAAUCUUACUAAUUACAUUACUAACAACACUUAUACUAGCCAAAACCAAACCAUCUUAUGAAUUAAGC